AUUUACAUUAAAAAAAGCACUCGUAUAAUCGCGGGAAUAGGGCCCGCAAGUUUCUACCAGGCUGCCGUAAACAGCCUGACUACGAGUGAUACUUUGACAUAG
rnacentral:ncRNA from 2 species